rnacentral:rRNA from 1 species
UACGUAGGGUGCGAGCGUUGUUCGGAAUUACUGGGCGUAAAGGGCGCGUAGGCGGCACGGCAAGUCAGGAGUGAAAGCCCUGGGCUCAACCCGGGAACUGCUUUUGAAACUGCCGAGCUAGAGUGCGGAAGGGGCAACUGGAAUUCCCAGUGUAGCGGCGAAAUGCGUAGAUAUUGGGAAGAACACCUGAGGCGAAGGCGGGUUGCUGGGCCGACACUGACGCUGAGGCGCGAAAGCCAGGGGAGCGAACGGG